rnacentral:rRNA from 1 species
GACGAACGCUGGCGGCGUGCCUAAUACAUGCAAGUCGAACGAACUCUGGUAUUGAUUGGUGCUUGCAUCAUGAUUUACAUUUGAGUGAGUGGCGAACUGGUGAGUAACACGUGGGAAACCUGCCCAGAAGCGGGGGAUAACACCUGGAAACAGAUGCUAAUACCGCAUAACAACUUGGACCGCAUGGUCCGAGUUUGAAAGAUGGCUUCGGCUAUCACUUUUGGAUGGUCCCGCGGCGUAUUAGCUAGAUGGUGGGGUAACGGCUCACCAUGGCAAUGAUACGUAGCCGACCUGAGAGGGUAAUCGGCCACAUUGGGACUGAGACACGGCCCAAACUCCUACGGGAGGCAGCAGUAGGGAAUCUUCCACAAUGGACGAAAGUCUGAUGGAGCAACGCCGCGUGAGUGAAGAAGGGUUUCGGCUCGUAAAACUCUGUUGUUAAAGAAGAACAUAUCUGAGAGUAACUGUUCAGGUAUUGACGGUAUUUAACCAGAAAGCCACGGCUAACUACGUGCCAGCAGCCGCGGUAAUACGUAGGUGGCAAGCGUUGUCCGGAUUUAUUGGGCGUAAAGCGAGCGCAGGCGGUUUUUUAAGUCUGAUGUGAAAGCCUUCGGCUCAACCGAAGAGGUGCAUCGGAAACUGGGAAACUUGAGUGCAGAAGAGGACAGUGGAA